GAAAUAUAUAGGAGGAAAACCCAAGGGGGGACCAAGGAGACUGCAGACUGGACACAGAAAAAAAAAAAAAAAAAAAAAAAAAAAGUAUUUAUGCAUGUGUUUAUUUAUUGAAAAAUAUAGGAGGGAAAAACCCAAGGGGACAAGAGGACUGAAAAAAAAAAAAAAAAAAAAAAAAAAAAGUAUUCAUGCAUGUGUUUAUUUAUUGAAAUAUAUAGGAGGGAAAACCCAAGGGGGGACCAAGAGGGACUGCAGAUGGACACAGAAAAAAAAAAAAAAAAAAAAAAAAAAAAAAAAAAAAAAAAAAAAAAAAAAAAAAAAAAAAAAAAAAAAAAAAAAAAAAAAAAAAAAAAAAAAAAAAAAAAAAAAAAAAAAAAAAAAAAAAAAAAAAAAAAAAAAAAAAAAAAAAAAGUAUUCAUGCAUGUGUUUAUUUAUUGAAAUAUAUAGGAGGGAAAACCCAAGGGGGGACCAAGAGGACUGCAGACUGGACACAGAAAAAAAAAAAAAAAAAAAGUAUUCAUGCAUGUGUUUAUGUAUUGAAAUAUAUAGGAGGGAAAACCCAAGGGGGGACCAAGAGGACUGCAGACUGGACACAGAAAAAAAAAAAAAAAAAAAAAGUAUUCAUGCAUGUGUUUAUGUAUUGAAAUGUAGAUACUUUUAUGAGGAAUGUGUCCGUGUACUUACAUUUUUCAAAAGAUAAUCUUCAAUGGUAAGACUUGUUUUAUUCGCGCCUCUUCUGGUGUAGCAUAUAACGUGAGUUUUAUUUAGGCAUAUCAGAUGCAUAGCGUGUGUAAUGUGUAGGCCAUUUCAUUCCGUUCUUGCAAUGUGAAUAAUUCAUUUCAAUAUGCUUAUAUCCCUUUUGUGCGCGCUUGUGCGUUUAACGGGGCUUGUUUGUGUGAGCCAGUGCAUUUAUCAUUCAUCUGUUGAUGCUCGAGUUUAAUAAAGGCAGGCUAUUCUUAAGAAACGUAUGUAAA
rnacentral:lncRNA from 1 species